UACGGGGGGGGCAAGCGUUGUUCGGAAUUACUGGGCGUAAAGGGCUCGUAGGCGGCCAACUAAGUCAGACGUGAAAUCCCCCGGCCCAACCGGGGAACUGCAUCGGAUACUGGUGGACUCGAGAGUUGUAGGGGUGGACGGAACUCCAGGUGGAGCGGUGAAAUGCGUAGAUAUCUGGAGGAACACCGGAGGCGAAAGCGGUCCACUGGGCAACUUCUGACGCUGAGGUGCGAAAGCUAGGGUAGCAAACGGG
rnacentral:rRNA from 1 species